rnacentral:rRNA from 1 species
GAUGAACGCUGGCGGCGUGUCUAAGGCAUGCAAGUCGAACGAUUCCAUUUGUGAUUACAUCAAUGGUGGAAUAGUGGCGAACGGGUGCGUAACACAUUGGUAACCUACCCCUCUCUCGGGUAUAACUCAGAGAAAUCUGUGCUAAUCCCCGAUAGGUCAUUUGACAUAAGUCAAAUGAUGAAAGCUUCGGCGGAAAGGGAGGGACCUAUGGCCAAUCAGCUAGUUGGUAGGGUAAUGGCCUACCAAGGUUACGACGGGUAGCGGGCGUGAGAGCGCGACCCGCCUCACCGGAACUGAGACACUGUCCGGACUCCUACGGGAGGCAGCAGUAGGGAAUCUUCCACAAUGGACGAAAGUCUGAUGGAGCAACGCCGCGUGAGCGAUGAAGGCCUUCGGGUCGUAAAGCUCUGUUGUUAGGGAAGAACAAGUACCGGAGUAACUGCCGGUACCUUGACGGUACCUAACCAGAAAGCCACGGCUAACUACGUGCCAGCCGCCGCCGUAA